AUGCAAUACUGAUACACAUUCAUUUGCUCCGACUCUGUAGGAACUAUUGACAGCCUCCAUUUUUGUUUGCUUGAAUGUAUUGUUUUUGCUUAAUCUGAUGAAAAUCUUGAAAAAAAUUAUGCAGAUUUUCUAAAGCUCUCAUCUUUCUCUGUAAAUACCUCUUUUGGAGUUCCAGGCAUAGUCGAACAGUGAAGAACAAAGAGGGAAAAUGCUCCCAGUAUCAACGGCAAGAAUGUGUAGUGGAGCAGAAACAAUGAGACAAAAAAUUGCUGAAAGGUUCAAAAUAGUUAUGGGGUUUGCAGGUUUUGAAUUCUUUGGUGCAUUUCUAUGCUCGUUGUGGGUUUAUUGGUAUUGCUAGGCAGGUGUUUGAUGAAAUGACUGAGAGGGAUGUUGUGUCUUGGAAUAGCGUUUUAUGUGAAAGUGGGUGAAUCAGUUGUCGUGAUGGAAUGUCAUGAUGACUGGGUAUUUGGAUUUUCAUAAACCUGGGAAGUGCUUAAAGUUGUUCCAAGAAAUGACAAGGCGGGGAUUGAAUGGUAACAAUGCGACGAUAGUUGUUGCUCUUUCUACUUGUGCUCGGUCAGCUCGAAUGAAUGAAGAAAAAUCUGUUCAUGGGUCUCUUAUUAAGGUAUCUAAAGGUUUGAAUUUGAUUGUUAGUUCAACUUUGAUUCAUAUGUAUAGUAGAAGCGGAAGAGAAGACAUUGCUCAUCUAAUUUUUGAUAGGAUGUUGGUCAGGAAUAUAGUAUGCUGGAAUGCGAUGAUUUUGGGGUACUGCAUUCAUGGGAAUCAAAAGAUGGCCUUAAUCUGUGUGCAGACUUGGUGAAUUGUAGUUUAGAAGAUGGAGAAAUAAAUUAGGUUAAGAACAUGAAACAAGGCGAAGGGGAUCAUGUGCUUCCAGAUGAAAUCACUUUUGUUGGUGUCUUAUGCGCUUGUGUCCAUGAGGGACUGGUGACACAAGCAGGAAGAUACUUCGGCUAUAUGAGUGAUUUGCUUGGUGUAAAGCCCAAUUUCGCACAUUAUUGGUGCAUGGCUUAUUUUCUAGCACAUGUUGAUCUAAUGCAAGAGCCAAGAGGCAAUAAAAUAACUAAAGAACAUUCCGAUAGAGAGCAUUUGCCACUAUCAUCCUCGUUGCGGUCUGAAUUGCUUGGCUUAGCUUGUUUUAGAGGGGAUGUAAUGUUAGGAGAACAAAUUGCGAAUAAGUUGAUUGAACAAGAUCCUGAGAUAUUUUGGUGUCAUUUGUUGUUGGUCAACAUCUAUGCUACAGCUAGUCAUUGGGAUGAAGCAGCUCAAACAAAGGAGAGGUUCAAGAAGAGAAGUAUGGAAAGAGUGCCAGGUUGCAGUUUAAAGAACUUAAAAGAAUUAGUUCACAACAUGAUAGCGACAUAAAUUGCAGUUGUCUGUGCUUCUUUGAUACUAUGGGGGCUAAGAAAGGAGAAAUUUAGAAUGUGUUAGAAUCGAAAGUCAGCAUCAGAAACAUCUAAACAUCAUGGCAUCCUGUUGAUUGUUCCUCUCUUUAGUCUAAAGCUGUGCCCUUGUCUAAGAGUGGUGCAAAGUAGAGCUUUACAGGAAAAUAGCACCAAGAUGUUUGAGCUCAUGGUAUUCCCUAUCUCAUCUGCUAAUGAUGUUGUUAAGAAGUCCCACAUCGGUAGAGGGAUAGGAAAUUGGUUUCCUUGUAUGGAGUUGGACAAACCUCCCCUCGUGAGCUAGCUUUUAGGGUUGAGUUAGGCCCAGAUGAGUAGUAGUUGGAUUUAAAGUACUCUUCGUAUGUCUAUUUUAAUCCUAUUGUUUUUCUAAGAGUAUUUGACAUUAUGAUAAAUUUAUGUAUAGAACUUCCAAUAUUACUAUUUAUUUUAUUUUGAACCUUUUAUUUA